rnacentral:rRNA from 1 species
AACGAACGCUGGCGGCGUGGAUAAGACAUGCAAGUCGGGCGGAAAUUCGUGGUGUAGCAAUACAUCGCGGGUUUCAGCGGCAAACGGGUGCGUAACACGUAGCUCAUCUACCUCGAAGUGGGGGAUAGCUCGCCGAAAGGCGAAUUAAUACCGCAUGUGGUUGUAAGACUAAAGCGGGGGUCGCAAGACCUCGCGCUUCGAGAUGAGGCUGCGGCCUAUCAGCAGUUGGCGGGGUAAAAGCCCACCAAGGCUAUGACGGGUAGCUGGUCUGAGAGGACGACCAGCCACAGUGGAACUGCGAUACGGUCCACACACCUACGGGUGGCAGCAGUCGAGGAUCUUGGACAAUGGGCGAAAGCCUGAUCCAGCGACGCCGCGUGAGGGAUGAAGGUC